UUUCUUCCCCACCACACCGCACCAAUACAUCCAUCAAUCCCCGUCGCUGAGCAGUCGUCGUCUUUUCCAUCCCUCUCGCUUUACCUCUCCCUUCUCCCUCUCUCUCUCCCCCUCUUUGCUGGUCUCUCCCUCUUUCCUGCCUCUUUUCAGCUCCGAUCCGGUCCUGGGAGCAUCGGAGUCUGUGAGUUGUUUCUUGCUUUAGACGGGUCUAAGAAAUACAAGAAUCGCCGCGGAACUUCUGUUUCUUGAUGUGGAUGAUGUCAGCACACUAAAUAUAAUUUUGAUAAAGAUGCAAGGAUGCGCUCCCUGCUGAGUUUUGUCCUACAAGUUUGCAAAAGGUAGUAUGUCAGCUAGGGCUUCCAACCAUCCAUACAAAUGUUCAGAUGGUUCUCAAAUGCCAUACUACAACAACUCAGUGCCUUCAGGAGAAAAUGAUAGGUUUUAUGUAAUGCAAAAUAAUGUAGACCAUCACUACUCUUCUUCUGAUGAUGGGCCACAGAGGAUUAAUAAUCCCAACCCUCGAGUAUUUGAAGCACAGUACUGCACUCUGGAGUCAUCCUCAGCAAAUGGUGUUUAUCCUGCACAAAGCUCCACAUCUUCUCACAGCAUCUCCCCUAUAAGUGGGAGCCCCCUGUCUCAGCAUGAUAGUCACUCAGACCACACAUACAGUUCUCCCCCAAGUGCUUCCAGUCUAACUGAGAUUGCAGAUCUCCAGGUUAAACUAAAAGAGUUGGAAAAUGCCAUUCUUGGACCUGAAUUGGACAUUACUUCUGACACCCCUGAGAGCUUCUUGCAAGCCAAUGCUCCGUUGAGACCAGAUAACUGGAGACAACUUCUGGGAAUUGAUACAGGAGACUUGAGGCAAGCAAUCAUAGCAUGUGGUAAGGCUGUUGCCAAGAAUGAUGUCUUUGCGACAGAACUACUGAUAUCUGAGCUAGGUCAGCUAGUAUCUGUCUCCGGAGAUCCAAUGCAGCGACUUGGAGCCUAUAUAUUGGAAGGCGUUGUUGCUAGACUUUCUUCCUCUGGCAGUGUGCUAUAUAAAUCUUUGAAAUGUAAAGAACCUACAAGCUCUGAGCUCAUGUCAUACAUGCAUCUCCUUUAUGAGAUCUGCCCAUUCUACAAAUUUGGUUACAUGUCAGCGAAUGGUGCCAUCGCCGAGGCUAUUAAGGGUGCAAACUUUGUUCACAUCAUUGAUUUCCAAAUUGCACAGGGGAGCCAGUGGGUAACUCUGAUACAGGCUCUUGCAGCACGGCCUGGGGGUCCACCAUGCGUUAGAAUCACCGGUAUAGAUGACUCAAAUUCUGCUUAUGCCCGAGGGGGUGGGCUCGAUAUAGUUGGGAUGAGAUUGCAUAGUAUUGCUCAGUCGUGUGGUCUUCCUUUUGAGUUCAAUGCUGUUCCAGCUGCUAGCCAUGAGGUUGUGCUUGAGCAUCUUGAUAUAAGAUCUGGGGAGGUUAUUGCUGUGAAUUUUGCCUAUCAGCUGCAUCAUGUUCCUGAUGAAAGCGUAAGCGUGGAAAAUCAUAGGGAUAGGAUUAUAAGAAUGAUCAAGAGCAUCAAUCCUAGGGUGGUGACUCUUGUUGAGCAGGAGUCAAAUACAAACACAGCUCCAUUCUUCCCAAGAUACAUGGAAAUUCUUGACUACUAUACAGCCAUGUUUGAGUCAAUAGAUGUUGCUCUCCCAAGGGAUGAUAGGAGGCGGAUCAGCGCAGAACAACACUGUGUUGCAAGGGAUAUUGUUAAUUUAAUCGCAUGUGAGGGUGCUGAAAGAGUUGAGAGGCACGAACUGUUUGGAAAAUGGAAGGCAAGAUUUGUAAUGGCUAGUUUUAGGCCAUACCCGCUGAGUUCAGUGGUGAACAGCACCAUCAAAAUACUGCUGCAGAGUUAUAACAGCUGCUACAGGCUUGAGGAGAGAGAUGGUGUCCUUUACCUUGGAUGGAAGAAUAGAGUAUUGGUAGUAUCUUCUGCAUGGUGUUGACAUUUCUGGAGAAGAAGCUCACAUAUGAAAUGACGAACCACGAUCUCAUUGUUAACUUUCUCCAUUUCUUCUUUCUCCACGUAGCAAAUAAGGGAAACAUCGCAUCUCCGGUCUCCAUCUCAUAGAUCCAAAGAUUCCAACCUGGAACUUUGUUGUUUCUUGCCUCUCUUCAGUUUUCAACCCUCCCAUACUCACUAGCCAUCUAAUUCAGUGGUUAGAUUAUCGCCUAAAAUCUUCGCAGCAAGUUGAAGUGAUACUCGAAACUUAGAAGUUGUACCUGUUUUAUACAUGCUAGAUAUGUUUAAUACUAGGAAUUUGGUCUCUCUAAAGCUGGGUUGUCCUCUCCUUAGGUUUUACAUGGUGUAAUUUAAUCCUCGGAGGUUAAGCUAGGCAGACACAAGAGGUGCCUGUUAAUUAGUUUUCUAUGAUUCUAUCAGUUGUAAUGUGUUAAGACGCCUGCUCUGUAUAUAUGUGGAAUGCUAGAAUGGUUCCUUUGUGAUAAAAUUUCUGGCUCACGUGUCAUGUAUCAUAGUUUUAUCUUGUAACAUGCAGUUAUUUCUCGUUC